rnacentral:rRNA from 1 species
AGAGUUUGAUCCUGGCUCAGAUUGAACGCUGGCGGCAGGCUUAACACAUGCAAGUCGAGCGGUAGCACAGGAGAGCUUGCUCUCUGGGUGACGAGCGGCGGACGGGUGAGUAAUGUCUGGGAAACUGCCUGAUGGAGGGGGAUAACUACUGGAAACGGUAGCUAAUACCGCAUAACGUCGCAAGACCAAAGAGGGGGACCUUCGGGCCUCUUGCCAUCAGAUGUGCCCAGAUGGGAUUAGCUAGUAGGUGGGGUAAUGGCUCACCUAGGCGACGAUCCCUAGCUGGUCUGAGAGGAUGACCAGCCACACUGGAACUGAGACACGGUCCAGACUCCUACGGGAGGCAGCAGUGGGGAAUAUUGCACAAUGGGCGCAAGCCUGAUGCAGCCAUGCCGCGUGUGUGAAGAAGGCCUUCGGGUUGUAAAGCACUUUCAGCGAGGAGGAAGGUGGUGAACUUAAUACGUUCAUCAAUUGACGUUACUCGCAGAAGAAGCACCGGCUAACUCCGUGCCAGCCGCCGCGGUAAUAC